UACGGAGGGUGCAAGCGUUGUCCGGAAUCACUGGGCGUAAAGGGCGCGUAGGCGGCCUGGUAAGUAGGGGGUGAAAUCCUGCGGCUUAACCGCAGGGCUGCCUUCUAAACUGUCAGGCUUGAGCACGGUAGAGGCAGAUGGAAUUCCCGGUGUAGCGGUGGAAUGCGUAGAGAUCGGGAAGAACAUCAGUGGCGAAGGCAGCCCCCUGGGUCAAGAUUGACGCUCAUGCACGAAAGCGUGGGGAGCAAACAGG
rnacentral:rRNA from 1 species